ACGGGUGAGUAAUGUCUGGGGAUCUGCCCGAUAGAGGGGGAUAACCACUGGAAACGGUGGCUAAUACCGCAUAACGUCGCAAGACCAAAGAGGGGGACCUUCGGGCCUCUCACUAUCGGAUGAACCCAGAUGGGAUUAGCUAGUAGGCGGGGUAAUGGCCCACCUAGGCGACGAUCCCUAGCUGGUCUGAGAGGAUGACCAGCCACACUGGAACUGAGACACGGUCCAGACUCCUACGGGAGGCAGCAGUGGGGAAUAUUGCACAAUGGGCGCAAGCCUGAUGCAGCCAUGCCGCGUGUAUGAAGAAGGCCUUCGGGUUGUAAAGUACUUUCAGCGGGGAGGAAGGCGACGGGGUUAAUAACCCUGUCGAUUGACGUUACCCGCAGAAGAAGCACCGGCUAACUCCGUGCCAGCAGCCGCGGUAAUACGGAGGGUGCAAGCGUUAAUCGGAAUUACUGGGCGUAAAGCGCACGCAGGCGGUCUGUUAAGUCAGAUGUGAAAUCCCCGGGCUUAACCUGGGAACUGCAUUUGAAACUGGCAGGCUUGAGUCUUGUAGAGGGGGGUAGAAUUCCAGGUGUAGC
rnacentral:rRNA from 1 species